UACAGAGGUCCCGAGCGUUGUUCGGAUUCAUUGGGCGUAAAGGGUGCGUAGGCGGCGGGGCAAGUCUGAUGUGAAAUCCCGGGGCUCAACCCCGGAACUGCAUUGGAUACUGCCUUGCUCGAGUACUGGAGAGGGAACUGGAAUUUACGGUGUAGCAGUGAAAUGCGUAGAUAUCGUAAGGAAGGCCAGUGGCGAAGGCGAGUUUCUGGACAGUAACUGACGCUGAGGCACGCAGGCCAGGGGAGCAAACGGG
rnacentral:rRNA from 1 species